AACACCUAUACACGCACUGAUCGGGGCGCCAUCCUUUCUGUGCACCCUGUGGUUUCAUGUGUGUAGCAUUGCCUGUGUAUAGGCAUGCACUCCCUGCUGCUGUUUCAGCCCAGAAACCAGCACUGUGCUCGAGCAGCAUUCGCCAUCCGAUUGUGGAAGAAGGCAGUGCAUCACCUGAGAGUAGGGGCAGUCCCUCCUGUCUGGAGAGGUGUAUGCAUUUGCCUAGGGUCCAAAUGUUCUUGCUUGGUGCUUGCAAAGGAGACCUAUAGUCUUAUCCAUGUUUCUGUGUGGGGGCAAUUAAACUGGCUGGAUUAAUUGCUCACAGUCACAGGGAGAGCUAGUAGAAGCAGCAUUACCCCUUUUGGCUGCAGCAGAGACUGGUGGAGUUGGCAAGACGAAGCUCUCUACCAAUGCAUAAGCCCUCCCCGCCCCAAUUUUCUCCUUACCCCAGCCUGUGUCCCCUGGCCCAGGGCUGGCUGCCCCCCCUGCCAGCGGAGUGCUGAAGACAGCUUUUCAGAGGAGUGUUCAUGUGCCAGGCUGUUUCUGGGGUGAGCUGCAGAUGGGAUUUCUACAGGUGGGUCAUGGCUGUCACUGAGUGUGCUGAUGUGAAGGUCCAGGAUAAAGUCCCUCAAAUAAGUUGCUUAGGCGUAAACACCAUUGAGAAUAUGUUAUAUUUUCCUCUUUUCCAAUAAGGAUGGAGAGUUGGAAACCAGCCUGCUUCUGGGGUCAGUCCAGCCUGCGUCAAGGACGUGGACUUGGGCUGGCGGCUCUAACUGAAGCCAAAGCGGGGAUGGAGCAUCUAGUGUCAACCUGCUGUCGUGCUGGGAGCAGAGCUUACGGCCACUGUCCAAGGAAGGAGAGCUGGAUGCAAAUCCUGGGGAGAAACCAUAAGACACCUCGGGGCACCUUUCUCUUCUCCCUCAUCUUCGGCUGUGCAGGAUUUGGUGCACCUUCGUGGAUCAAGUACCAGCACGCAGUAGACCCUUGAAAUCUUCUGCAAAUUUCCCUGCAGCGUUUGUCGUUGGCCAGCGCCACGUUGCCGCCUUGGGUGAGCCACGGUAACUGCCCUUUGCUAGGGCCUGGUUCUGAAGGAGGAGCGGAGAUAACGUUUUAACCGGCAAAAGCAGAUGAAAAAGGUGAUAAAGGAAUAACG
rnacentral:lncRNA from 1 species